CUUCCAUUACUAAAAUUGUUAAUUUAAAUUUUAAAUAGCAUGUUAGAUCUUAUGUGACAUAAUUUAAAAGGAAAACUUUAAGAAAAAAUAAUAUUAUUGUAACAGACUCAAUUUGCCCGGCCCGUUAAUAAAAUAAAACCAACAUAAAAGCAGAAAUUGAAUGUCCAAAAGUCCCAUUACAGGCCCAAAUCAGAAGCCCAAACUAACCUAAACCCAAACACCAGCCCUGGCCCAAUCACGAAGCAGCCCAACAAGAAAAAUCAGAAACCGAAAACUCCUAGGGUUUCCAGAAACUCCUAGCGCCGCAGCAACCGUACCACGCCUCCACGCGCUGCGCCGUACGCUGUACCUGCAAAUGAAACAAAGACAACACAGCACAAAGAAACAACAAAAAGAAAGAAACAAAAACAACAGAAAAGAGGAAAAAAAGAACAGAAUAGGGGAGAUUUUUAUUUUUUUCAUUUUUGCUUUUUAUUCUCUGUAAAUCGGGAUAUAAAAAUCCUACACAAACACUGUAAACAUUACACGCAUAUAUUGAAUACAAGAAACAAAAAAGAAAAAAAAAAGAAGAAGAGAGAUUCGAAAAGGUGAAUUCGCCAUUUUUUUUCUUCGGCAUUUCUUUACUGUUUUCUUUUAUUCUUUCACACGAAGAAGAGAAAUAAAAACGAAAUGACGGAGGGGAUCUUACCUCUUUCGUCGAAGACGCCGAAUGGUGGCCAUCUCCGUCGCGGUCGGAGCGCUGGCCAGGCGAACGGUGGCGCAAGGAUGCUAGGGUCGAGACCCUAGCAAAGCAAAAAAGGGGCAGCACUUGUUUUUCUUUAAAAAAACUGCAAAUGUCUAUUUUUUUUUAAGAUUUUUUUCAUUUAAAUAACGCAA
rnacentral:lncRNA from 1 species